rnacentral:rRNA from 1 species
UAGGGAAUAUUGCAAAUGGGCGAAAGCCUGAUGUAGCAACGCCGCGUGUGCGAUGAAGGUCUUCGGAUUGUAAAGCACUUUUUGGAGGGAUGAGGAAGGACAGUACCUCCAGAAUAAGCCUCGGCUAACUACGUGCCAGCAGCCGCGGUAACACGUAGGAGGCAAGCGUUAUUCGGAUUUACUGGGCGUAAAGCGCGUGCAGGCGGUUUGGAAAGUUGGAUGUGAAAGCUCCUGGCUCAACUGGGAGAGGUCGUUCAAAACUUACAGACUUGAGAGUGGUAGAAGGAGGUGGAAUUCCGGGUGUAGUGGUGAAAUGCGUAGAUAUCCGGAGGAACACCAGUGGCGAAAGCGGCCUACUGGACCACUUCUGACGCUCAGAAGCGAAAGCUAGG